rnacentral:rRNA from 1 species
CCUACGGGUGGCUGCAGUGGGGAAUAUUGGACAAUGGGCGAAAGCCUGAUCCAGCCAUGCCGCGUGUGUGAAGAAGGCCUUCGGGUUGUAAAGCACUUUCAGUGGGGAAGAAAGCCUUGGGGCUAAUACCCUCGAGGAAGGACAUCACCCACAGAAGAAGCACCGGCUAACUCCGUGCCAGCAGCCGCGGUAAUACGGAGGGUGCGAGCGUUAAUCGGAAUUACUGGGCGUAAAGCGCGCGUAGGCGGUUUGAUAAGCCGGUUGUGAAAGCCCCGGGCUCAACCUGGGAACGGCAUCCGGAACUGUCAGGCUAGAGUGCAGGAGAGGAAGGUAGAAUUCCCGGUGUAGCGGUGAAAUGCGUAGAGAUCGGGAGGAAUACCAGUGGCGAAGGCGGCCUUCUGGACUGACACUGACGCUGAGGUGCGAAAGCGUGGGUAGCAAACAGGAUUAGAUACCCUGGUAGUC